AAGUCGUAACAAGGUAACCGUAGGUGAACCUGCGGUUGGAUCAUUACCAAAUAUCCAACGGGGGCUUCUCGAAGCCCCCAACCCCACCUCUUGUGCAACGUAACGUAUUUGGCGGGCCUACACUCCAUGGUGCACACCCUCCAUCGGUCUGCCCUUGCUCGCCCACUGUUUCACGACAGGCACAGGGUGUGACAGGGCGGCUCGAUGGGUCACCAAGGCAGUGUAGCUUGCGAUGCAUCAUGCAUCGACCGCCAACAUAAACACCCCCGUAUUCCUACAACCCAACAUCCUGACUUUUAUAGGCCUCUUGUGCGUUUGCACGAGGGGUAAAUAAUUGAAAAACAACUUUUGACAACGGAUCUCUUGGCUCUC
rnacentral:misc_RNA from 1 species